GAUUGAACGCUGGCGGCAUGCCUUACACAUGCAAGUCGAACGGCAGCACGGGGGCAACCCUGGUGGCGAGUGGCGAACGGGUGGGUAAUACAUCGGAACGUGUCCUGUAGUGGGGGAUAGCCCGGCGAAAGCCGGAUUAAUACCGCAUACGCUCUGCGGAGGAAAGCGGGGGAUCCUUCGGGACCUCGCGCUACAGGGGCGGCCGAUGGCAGAUUAGCUAGUUGGUGGGGUAAAGGCCUACCAAGGCGACGAUCUGUAGCUGGUCUGAGAGGACGACCAGCCACACUGGGACUGAGACACGGCCCAGACUCCUACGGGAGGCAGCAGUGGGGAAUUUUGGACAAUGGGGGAAACCCUGAUCCAGCAAUGCCGCGUGUGUGAAGAAGGCCUUUCGGGUUGUAAAGCACUUUUUGUCCGGAAAGAAAGCCUCGGGGCUAAUACCCCUGGGGGAUGACGGUACCGGAAGAAUAAGCACCGGCUAACUACGUGCCAGCAGCCGCGGUAAUACGUAGGGUGCAAGCGUUAAUCGGAAUUACUGGGCGUAAAGCGUGCGCAGGCGGUCCGUUAAGACAGAUGUGAAAUCCCCGGGCUUAACCUGGGAACUGCAUUUGUGACUGGCGGGCUAGAGUAUGGCAGAGGGGGGUAGAAUUCCACGUGUAGCAGUGAAAUGCGUAGAGAUGUG
rnacentral:rRNA from 1 species